rnacentral:rRNA from 1 species
CCUACGGGAGGCAGCAGUGGGGAAUAUUGCGCAAUGGGGGAAACCCUGAUGCAGCGACGCCGCGUGAGUGAAGAAGUAUUUCGGUAUGUAAAGCUCUAUCAGAAGGGAAGAAAAUGACGGUACCUGAUUAAGAAGUCCCGGCUAAAUACGUGCCAGCAGCCGCGGUAAUACGUAGGGGGCAAGCGUUAGGCCGAUUUACUGGGUGCAAAGGGAGCGUAGACGGCAUCAAAAGUAUGGAGGUGAAUGCCGGGGCUUAACCCCGGAGCUGCUUUGGAAACUGUGCAGCUAGAGUGCAGGAGAGGUGAGUGGAAUUCCUAGUGUAGCGGUGAAAUGCGUAGAUAUUAGGAGGAACACCAGUGGCGAAGGCGGCUUACUGGCCUGUAACUGACGUUGAGGCUCGAAAGCGUGGGGAGCAAACAGGAUUAGAUACCCCAGUAGUC